rnacentral:lncRNA from 1 species
AUGACACUUUUUCCCAGGCUGAGGUAUACAUGUAUAUUUUCAUUAAGAAAAAUGAUAUUGCUGGUUGUGGCAGUGCAUGCCUUUAAUUUCAGCACUCUGGAGGCUGAGGCAGGAGGAUUGCUUAGUGUUGGAGGCCAGCCUGGGCUACAAAGUGAGUUUAAGGCCAGCCUGAACUGCAUAGUGAGACCCUGUCUCAAAAGAAACCAAAAAAAGGUAUUACGCCAUAUGAAGCAGUUUUUGGUUUCUAAAAAAAAAGGCAUCUUACGAAACAGGUUGGCAUCCUCGCACCUGUCGUUUUUUCAACCCGCAAGAAAGCCUGCGUACAGCACACGAGGCGCAGCCAGGCAGCCAUCACCCGCGACAGACCAGCAACCUCUUCAAAGGCCUCUCCUGCAGUAGAUCAUCAUCAGUCUUCAGCGAUUACACAUGGUUGGCACAUUAUCUUAUUUAUUGCACAAGAUGCACGUGAGGAUAGCAAAUCCCAGGCUCCAAGUCCUCUCAGUGAUUACGUGAACCUCUUCCAAUCAAGGUACUUAACCCAAACUAACUAAUUUCAUAUUUAUGUUAUGUUUCUUUUCUGCUAUUGAUCUUUCCAGUUUGUUUUUUUUUGGGGGGGGUGGGUACCAGGAAUCGAACCUAGGACCUUGCAUUUGCCAGGCAGGUGCUUGUGCUGCUGAGCUAUCUCCCCAGCCUGAUCCUUCCAGUUUUCAUAAGUUUCUGUCUUCACAAAAUUUGCCUCCAUACUUGUCUCAACUGUGUUUCACCUUUAUAUGUGCCCCAUCCCCC